CCCAGCUUUCCUGAAUAUGAGAUAUGUAUGAGCGAGAAACUAGACGGUAUUUUGCCAUCGCAUGUUGUCAACAUUGAAACAAAUAUGGAAAUACGUUGUUUGUGUUAUUUUUCAUCAAUGAAAAGCUUCUUGUACAGUCACAGGAGCGAUGCACUAGGACUUAUCAGUGAAGAUUUUAAAUCUGAUGUGAAGAAAUUCAUGGAUAUAAAA